GGCUACUAGUCUUAGUGUAGGUGAAACUGAUUGGAGUAAUGAAUUUUCUUUCUUUGCGGUUGGGAUUGAUCUUACAGAUGCUGGUCAAGAACACAUGGAGGAUAUAGUUGGACUGUUGUUCAAAUACAUACUGCUUUUGAAAGAGAGUGGGGUCAACAAAUGGAUCUUUGAAGAGAUUUGUGCCAUCGGGGAGACCAUGUUUCAUUUUCAAGACAAAGUGCCCCCCUUCAACUAUGUCGCUAGAGUUGCUUCAAACAUG